rnacentral:rRNA from 1 species
GUGAGGAAUAUUGGACAAUGGGCGCAAGCCUGAUCCAGCCAUGCCGCGUGCAGGAAGACGCAUCUAUGGUGUGUAAACUGCUUUUGUAAGGGAAGAAACACUCCCUCGUGAGGGAGCUUGACGGUACCGUAAGAAUAAGGAUCGGCUAACUCCGUGCCAGCAGCCGCGGUAAUACGGAGGAUCCAAGCGUUAUCCGGAAUCAUUGGGUUUAAAGGGUCCGUAGGCGGUUUAAUAAGUCAGUGGUGAAAGCCCAUCGCUCAACGAUGGAACGGCCAUUGAUACUGUUAGACUUGAAUUACAAGGAAGUAACUAGAAUAUGUAGUGUAGCGGUGAAAUGCUUAGAUAUUACAUGGAAUACCAAUUGCGAAGGCAGGUUACUACUUGUGGAUUGACGCUGAUGGACGAAAGCGUGGGGAGCGAACAGGAUUAGAUACCCUUGUAGUCC